rnacentral:tRNA from 1 species
GCCCCGGUGGCGGAAUCGGCAGACGCAUCAGACUUAAAAUCUGAGGUUCCGAUCAGGAGCGUGCGGGUUCGAGUCCCGCCCGGGGCA